GUUUUUAUAGUUUAAAAAAAACAUUAAUUUUGUAAAUUAAAAUUAGAAAAUCUUAAAAGCA
rnacentral:tRNA from 1 species